GAAGUCGGCAAACGGAUCCGUAACCUUGGGAUAAGGAUUGGCUCUGAGGACUGAGCCGGUCGGGCUGGGGACCUGAAGCAGGAACGGCACUGCACCGGGACUGGGCGGGGGCUCGCCGUUCACGCGGCGCGGCCAAGCCCGGACCAGCGUCGGGACCUUCCUGUGGAAAGCCUCAGCUGCGCGGCGUCUGAGGGCUUCGUGCCCAAAGUGCUAUGCUUCGGCCGGCAAAAAACAGUCAACUCAGAACUGGCACGGACCGGGGGAAUCCGACUGUCUAAUUAAAACAAAGCAUUGCGAUGGCCGCUGGUCGGUGUUGACGCAAUGUGAUUUCUGCCCAGUGCUCUGAAUGUCAACGUGAAGAGAUUCAUCAAAGCGCGGGUAAACGGCGGGAGUAACUAUGACUCUCUUGUGGUAGCCAAAUGCCUCGUCAUCUAAUUAGUGACGCGCAUGAAUGGAAAAUGCGUUCCGGAGU
rnacentral:ncRNA from 1 species